rnacentral:rRNA from 1 species
CCUACGGGUGGCAGCAGUGAGGAAUAUUGGUCAAUGGGCGCGAGCCUGAACCAGCCAAGUCGCGUGAGGGAAGACGGUCCUAUGGAUUGUAAACCUCUUUUGUCGGGGAGCAAAAGACGCCACGCGUGGCGUUCCGAGAGUACCCGAAGAAAAAGCAUCGGCUAACUCCGUGCCAGCAGCCGCGGUAAUACGGAGGAUGCGAGCGUUAUCCGGAUUUAUUGGGUUUAAAGGGUGCGGAGGGGGAGGGUUAAGUCAGUGGGAAAAUUGAGGGGCUCAACCUCUUAGGUGCGUUUGAUAUUGGUUGCCUUGAGUACAGGAGAAGUAGGCGGAAGGCGUGGUGUAGCGGUGAAAUGCAUAGAUAUCACGAAGAACUCCGAUUGAGAAGGCAGCUUACUAACGCUCCACUGAC